rnacentral:rRNA from 1 species
UACGUAGGGUGCAAGCGUUAAUCGGAAUUACUGGGCGUAAAGCGUGCGCAGGCGGUUCGUUGUGUCGGCGGUGAAAGCCCCGGGCUCAACCUGGGAAUGGCCGUUGAAACUGGCGAACUGGAGUGUGGCAGAGGGGGGUGGAAUUCCGCGUGUAGCAGUGAAAUGCGUAGAGAUGCGGAGGAACACCGAUGGCGAAGGCAGCCCCCUGGGCUGACACUGACGCUCAGGCACGAAAGCGUGGGGAGCAAACAGG